rnacentral:lncRNA from 1 species
GCAAGAGAGAAUCGAACACGCAACCUCAAGAUUUAAUUGAUUUGAUACGAAACCACUCAACCACUUAAACAACAUUGAUUAUUACUAUUUUUUUUGUUUUUAUAUAUUACUGGGGCAUGUGCCACCACUAUCACCAACGUGGGUCCGCCCCUGCUGGUAGGAGGAAAAAGGUAAAGAGUCUGCUUAGGUAAGCUCAUACGAAAGCGUCGGAAUAAUAGUAUUGCCGAUAUCCUGAUAUCACUAAAUCCCCCAAAAUCACUCGCUUACCACCUUAUCCAUUGCUUUUCAUAAUUGCCUCAGCCACACACACUGAG